CUUAGGAGCAAGCGAGUCUCGCCCUGAUCUGAUGCUAACAGGACAUAAGGAAAAUGCGGAAUUUGCGCUUGCCAUGUGUCCAGCAGAACCAUAUGUCCUAUCAGGAGGAAAGGACAAAUCUAUUGUCUUGUGGAGCAUCCAAGACCAUAUAUCUA